GAUGAAGAACGUAGCGAAAUGCGAUACUUGGUGUGAAUUGCAGAAUCCCGUGAACCAUCGAGUCUUUGAACGCAAGUUGCGCCCGAAGCCAUUAGGCCGAGGGCACGCCUGCCUGGGCGUCACACGUCGUUGCCCCCCCAUCUACUCCUUCGGGAUUGCGAGGGGCGGAUGAUGGCCUCCCGUGCGCCUCGUCGCGCGGUUGGCAUAAAUGCCAAGUCCUCGGCGACGCACGCCACGACAAUCGGUGGUUGCGAAACCUCGGUUGCCCGUCGUGUGCGGUCGUCGCGCAUCGAGGGCUCGAAAAAAUUGCCGGGCUCCGGCUCGGCUUUCAACGCGACCCCAGGUCAGGUGGGGUUACCCGCUGAAUUUAAGCAUAUCAAUAAGCGGAGGA
rnacentral:misc_RNA from 1 species